GUUUUCUUGGCGCAGUUGGUUAGCGCGUGUGCUUUACACGCACAAGGUCGCCGGUUCGAUCCCGGCAGGAAACA
rnacentral:tRNA from 4 species